rfam:Felis catus isolate Cinnamon breed Abyssinian chromosome E3, whole genome shotgun sequence.
GCCUGGGUGGCUCAGUUGGCUGGGCGUCCGACUUCGGCUCGGGUCAUGAUCUCGCGGUUUGUGGGUUCGAGCCCCGUAUCAGGCU